CUAUAAUGCAGUCGAGCGGAUCUUCAUUAGCUUGCUUUUGAAGAUCAGCGGCGGACGGGUGAGUAACACGUGGGCAACCUGCCUGUAAGACUGGGAUAACUUCGGGAAACCGGAGCUAAUACCGGAUAAUCCUUUCCCUCACAUGAGGGAAAGCUGAAAGACGGUUUCGGCUGUCACUUACAGAUGGGCCCGCGGCGCAUUAGCUAGUUGGUGAGGUAACGGCUCACCAAGGCAACGAUGCGUAGCCGACCUGAGAGGGUGAUCGGCCACACUGGGACUGAGACACGGCCCAGACUCCUACGGGAGGCAGCAGUAGGGAAUCUUCCGCAAUGGACGAAAGUCUGACGGAGCAACGCCGCGUGAACGAUGAAGGCUUUCGGGUCGUAAAGUUCUGUUGUCAGGGAAGAACAAGUACCGGAGUAACUGCCGGUACCUUGACGGUACCUGACCAGAAAGCCACGGCUAACUACGUGCCAGCAGCCGCGGUAAUACGUAGGUGGCAAGCGUUGUCCGGAAUUAUUGGGCGUAAAGCGCGCGCAGGCGGUUCCUUAAGUCUGAUGUGAAAGCCCCCGGCUCAACCGGGGAGGGUCAUUGGAAACUGGGGAACUUGAGUGCAGAAGAGGAGAGCGGAAUUCCACGUGUAGCGGUGAAAUGCGUAGAGAUGUGGAGGAACACCAGUGGCGAAGGCG
rnacentral:rRNA from 1 species